CCAAGUUACAUCUGGUGAGUUACACACUACACACCCUCUUCCCUCUCCUUUUAAUAAUCCUAUAUAGAUCAAUAACUUCUGGAACGAAUGGAGUGGGUUCCUAUAUAAAGAAGAGUCAGAGGAAGGUACGUGAAGGUGGUAUCGAUCACCAGUGUCAGAAUGAGGUUUGGGGCAAUUGCAUUCGUUUUGAUGCUAGCAUUCUGCUGUUGUACGGGUUCAGAUAGAUGGAGGAACAUAGAGG